rnacentral:sRNA from 1 species
AUUUUGAUCAGAUGCCCCAUGUUUGUUGUAUUUAUAAAUUAGAUAGGAAAAUAUGUGAUCACAUGAAUCUGCUCUCCUAGAAAAAUGUUGUUGGAAAGAUACAGCGGGAUUUUAGUUUUAAUUGUAUCAGUUUUCAUCAUGACAACAGCAAGUAGAUGUCGAAAACGCCCAGUUCGAGAGAUAAUUCAACAUAGAAAUUGUAUUCAGAAAACUGUCAUUAACUUUGCCUGUGAAGGUUCAUGUGACAACGGACUGUCAAAUAUUCUCAGUGCUGAGAGUGCAACGCAAUCCUGUCAAAUAUCUGCUAGUCAACAGCGGUUUGUGCGUCUCAGAUGUUUCGAAAAUGGAGAUCUAACUCAAAUGAAAUCCCGACAAAUAGCCGUAUCUGUAGUGACCGGCUGUUCUUGUAGUGCAAUAUCUGGACCUUCAGCAAGUGAUAGCACUUCUCAGCUAGUCGCAGGCAUUAACAGACCUGCCCAUGCGACGAGACGGUCGAGAUUCCAAAGCCUUAUGCAAAGACUUGCAAUGGGACGGCACCGUGGAAGACACAGAAUCCAGGGGAACUCUGAAUCAUGAUCUUGACGUUUAAUUGUCAACUUUAUAUAAUACGGGUGUACAAAUAAUGAAUCUCUAUCAACUUCAUAACUUUUUUAUUAGAACAACAACAAUGCAUCAAUUCUUAUGAACAAACGGUUCACGUUGUUCACAGAAAAAAACAUUUUUUGCCACAAAAUUGACUGCUUACGAGUGUUAUUGCACGAGUUUACAGUUUUACGUGGUACUUUUGUCUUAUUACUCAAUAUGCAUAUGUAUAUAGACAUGAUCUUUUUUUAUUUAUAAAUCUUAGGAAACGUCUUACAAUUAUAAAUUUUGAACUCAUGCGAUGGGAUGAAAUUUCUUACUGUUCAAUAUUUAUGAUUUAUAUAUCUAUAUCAGUGUUGGCAGUAUGUCUCAAUAUUUCAACCCAAAUAUAUGUUACCAUUUUGUUGUUAUGAAUCCAUUUUAUAUUGGUUAUCGUUGCUUGAAGGUUAUGUGUUGAUUAAAGCUGUAUUAAAAAAUC